AAUCAUCAGAACCAAUAUAACGCUUCGCCCAGCAGGCUCACGACCAAUCAUCAGAACCAAUAUAACGCUUCGCCCAGCAGGCUCACGACCAAUCAUCAGAACCAAUAUAACGCUUCGCCCAGCAGGCUCACGACCAAUCAUCAGAACCAAUAUAACGCUUCGCCCAGCAGGCUCACGACCAAUCAUCAGGGCUAUAUUUACGCAAUAGCAAUGUAGCGUUUUUCAGCAUCCCAACAGCUUUACGGUUGAACGGUGAUUGAAACAGAGACCGUCUAAUCAACAAAAAACAGCAGUCAAAUGGUAUAAAUAUGUUGUUAAUUUUAACAAUGAGUUUGAGAUCGUAAUUUUAAUUUGAUAAAAAAAAAAAAAAAUGGAGAGUU
rnacentral:lncRNA from 1 species